rnacentral:rRNA from 1 species
AUUGAACGCUGGCUGCAGGCUUAACACAUGCAAGUCGAGCGAGCGGCGGACGGGUGAGUAAUGUCUGGGAAACUGCCUGAUGGAGGGGGAUCACUACUGGAAACGGUAGCUAAUACCGCAUACCAUCAGAUGUGCCCAGAUGGGAUUAGCUAGUAGGUGGGGUCAUGGCUCACCUAGGCGACGAUCCCUAGCUGGUCUGAGAGGAUGACCACCCCCACUGGAACUGAGACACGGUCCAGACUCCUAAGGGAGGCAGCAGUGGGGAAUAUUGCACAAUGGGCGCAAGCCUGAUGCAGCCAUGCCGCGUGGAUGAAGAAGGCCUUCGGGUUGUAAAGCACUUUCAGCGAGGAGGCGUUACUCGCAGAAGAAGCACCGGCUAACUCCGUGCCAGCAGCCGCGGUAAUUC